rnacentral:rRNA from 1 species
AGCUCGACACCUACGGGAAGCAGCAGUGGGGAAUAUUGCACAAUGGGGGAAACCCUGAUGCAGCGACGCCGCGUGAGCGAAGAAGUAUUUCGGUAUGUAAAGCUCUAUCAGCAGGGAAGAUAAUGACGGUACCUGACUAAGAAGCUCCGGCUAAAUACGUGCCAGCAGCCGCGGUAAUCUGAGCGGGCUGGCAAGGC